UACGUAGGGGGCAAGCGUUGUCCGGAAUCAUUGGGCGUAAAGAGCGUGUAGGCGGCUUGGUAGGUCUGCUGUGAAAACUCGGGGCUCAACCCCGAGACGUCGGUGGAAACCACCUUGCUAGAGUCCGGAAGAGGAGAGUGGAAUUCCUGGUGUAGCGGUGAAAUGCGCAGAUAUCAGGAAGAACACCUGUGGCGAAGGCAAUCCCCUGGGCCUGCACUGACGCUCAUGCACGAAAGCGUGGGGAGCAAACAGG
rnacentral:rRNA from 1 species